GACGAACGUUGGCGGCGUGCUUAAUACAUGCAAGUCAACUGAAGCAGUGGUAGCAAUAUCGCUGUGGAGGUGGCGCACGGGUGAGUAACACGUAGGUAAUCUGCCUUCAGGUCUGGUAUAACUCCGGGAAACCGGGGCUAAUAGCAGAUGAUGCAGCGGCUCGACAUCGAGACAGUUGUUAAAGCUAUGGCGCCUGAAGAUGAGCCUGCGUCUGAUUAGCUAGUUGGCGGGGUAACGGCCCACCAAGGCAACGAUCAGUAGCUGGUCUGAGAGGAUGAUCAGCCACACUGGAACUGAGACACGGUCCAGACUCCUACGGGAGGCAGCAGUAAGGAAUAUUGCUCAAUGGGAGAAAUCCUGAAGCAGCAACGCCGCGUGAGGGACGAAGGGCUUUUGCUUGUAAACCUCUGUAGUGAGAGAAAAAAAUCCCAAUCUUUGGGACAUGAUGGUAUCUCAAAAGUAAGCCCCGGCUAACUACGU
rnacentral:rRNA from 1 species